AGCAGCCGCGGUAAUUCCAGCUCCAAUAGCGUAUAUUAAAGUUGUUGCAGUUAAAAAGCUCGUAGUUGAAUUUCGGGGUCAAUACGUCGGUCGUGCCUUCGGUACGUACUGGUGUUAUUGAUCUCUCCCUUCUGAUGAAUCAUGAUGUCAUUAAUUUGGUGUCGUGGGGAAUCAGGACUGUUACUUUGAAAAAAUUAGAGUGUUUAAAGCAGGCUCACGCUUGAAUACAUUAGCAUGGAAUAAUGAAAUAGGACGUUCGAUCCUAUUUUGUUGGUUUCUAGGAUCAACGUAAUGAUUAAUAGGGAUAGUUGGGGGCAUUAGUAUUCAAUUGUCAGAGGUGAAAUCCUUGGAUUUAUUGAAGACUAACUACUGCGAAAGCAUUUGCCAAGGAUGUUUUCAUUAAUCAAGAACAAAAGUUAGGGGAUUCGAAGACGAUCAGAUAC
rnacentral:rRNA from 1 species